CGGACGGGUGAGUAAUGUCUGGGAAACUGCCUGAUGAGGGGAUAACUACUGGAAACGGUAGCUAAUACCGCAUAACGUCGCAAGACCAAAGAGGGGGACCUUCGGGCCUCUUGCCAUCGGAUGUGCCCAGAUGGGAUUAGCUAGUAGGUGGGGUAACGGCUCACCUAGGCGACGAUCCCUAGCUGGUCUGAGGGGAUGACCAGCCACACUGGAACUGAGACACGGUCCAG
rnacentral:rRNA from 1 species